CCUCCCAAAGAACUGCCACUCCAGGUUCCUGUCUGCAAGCACCUCUUGACCACAGGAACAGUGUCUGCUUUGGUUUCUGCAGACAGGAUGGAUCCCCAGGAGCUCGGUAUUGGCUGUUCCCUGAGAGGUUGUACAAGUACCUGACCAAUUCAGAUGCAGAUACAGCCAACCAUCAGAAGGAGCCCAGGGACCCCCAAGGAAGAGGUUGUGAGAAAACAUUCUUACCAAAGAAAGCAGUAUACAUGAGAGGAAAAGUUUCUUUAGCUGAAAAUUCUAGAUUAUAGUACAUGUCAGUAAGAAAGGCAAAAUAGCAUGGAAGUUAAAGUAUUGCCCCACAACCUUAGAGCAGAGAAAAUUGAUGGAUGCAUUCUUCAAGUAUUGAAAUGACUUUCCUUCUCAAUCAAUCCCAGUUUAUUCAGUCCAAGAGUGCUCCCUAUAUUCAAGCUUCACCAGUUCCUGUCACUUCCCAAUAGCAUGAUGCUGAAGACUGGAUUUUACUAUGUAAACAUUUUCAAGACACUGAAGAUUUGAAGUAUUUUUUAAUAUAGCCAACUUUUCUCAUAACAAGUCCUUUAUUUGAAUCAGGCAAAUAUGCAAACAGAAUGCUGUUGUAAGACUCCAGGGAGCCUUAGCUUUCUGGAGAUCCUGUGAAUAAAACACAUGAAGUUGGGAUUGAUGCAAAAAGCAAGAGGAAUUUAUUGUUCCUGUGCACGAGGUUCGUCCCAGACCCAAAGGAGAGGCAGUGGCCCCCAGCACCCAACUGCCCCCAGACUAGAGAUGAACCUACUACAUUGUGAAUGCUGGCAAAUACUCUACAACUGUAUUACAUCCCAGGGCUGGAACCCAACUCAUCUUCUGCAACAAUUACAGGGCAGGCUGGAUGAAGACACUCAACCUACAAUGUGGCCAUCUCAUGACUGGUUCAUGAGAAUGGCUUCCAAAAUGAUUUCAAGACUGGGAAUGUUUAGCUAUCUGGGAGAGAAAAUAAGGAGACUCAGUCUACACUGUACAUUAAGGACUGUUUAUUCUGUUAAAGGCUAACAUAGAUUAUUGACUCAUGUCACAUGUGAAAGUAAAUAAAAAUCCAGGUUAAUGUAUGCAUCUGGUAGGAUUUACCAAACACACCACCAUACAUGAGUGGACUUAGAAAGACCCAGGCCCCUCAGGGUUCUAAGGUAUUCAAGGAGUCCCCACAAAUACAAUAGUAACAUGCUAGUGUAGUCUAAAUUCUCUCUCACUGGUCUCACCUCAGUUCUAGUGUACUGCUGAGUGGGGCUUUGGGCUAUGCACAGACAGGCUGGUCUCCAGUUGAGCUGUGGUCUGA